rnacentral:sRNA from 1 species
UCUCUGUACGGGAAGGAUGAGAAGCUUCGACCAGGGUUCGAUUCGAGCGCAGCGAGAAAGCGUUGCCGCAGGCAACGACCCGAAGGGCGAAGCGCGCAGCGCUGAGUCAUCCUUCCCCCACCACCA